AGGACGAACGCUGGCGGCGUGCUUAACACAUGCAAGUCGAGCGGAAAGGCCCUUCGGGUACUCGAGCGGCGAACGGGUGAGUAACACGUGAGUAACCUGCCCCUAGCGUCUGGGACUAGCUCCGGGAAACCGGGAUUAAUACCAGAUACGACCACUUUAGACAUCUGUCGUGGUGGAAAGGAUUCCGGCUAGGGAUGGGCUCGCGGUCCUAAUCAGGCUUGUUGGUGGGGUAACGGCCUACCAAGGCGACGACGGGUA
rnacentral:rRNA from 1 species